UUUAAACACGCCCUUAUUCUUGCACUUAUAUCACUGGCAGCUAACAGUGUGUGAUUAAUGUUCAGCUCAGUUUCACUUCUAUAGACGUCUUGGUGCUGAUUGUUUCUUCCUUUCUUCAGACAAAGGAAAACACUGGAUGUACAUGACAACUAUUGAUUAACUGCUGAAAGAAAGUCAUCAAAAAUGGGAAACGCACCAUCAGAGAGCAACAUGGGCAACAACCUGAGAUGCUGGAAGUGUUAUAAAUUACUUCCUCCAUGCAAAA